rnacentral:lncRNA from 1 species
CUGGGAUCCUAACACUCGGGUGGCCGAGAGGGCGAUGUGGCUGAGGCAACAGGGAAAGGGGGCUGGACUGGGCUGGGGGCUGGAGGAGGGGCCAGUCCCGAGGGGACGGGGCUCCAACCUCACCUUCCUGCUGUCGUGGAGAAGAAAAGUGGUAAUGACCGCUACUGUGCACUGGGCUCUCGCUCUGUGCUUUGCUUGUGUUUGCUCAGUUAAUCCUCCCAACAUGCCUCUAAGCCACCUAUGGGCAACAAGGUCUCCAAGGAAACUCCAGAACAUUCUGUGGGUUUCAGUGGUUACCUGCUGAGGCGGCAUUGGGCAUGGAGCAUCCGAGGGUCCAAGACACACCAAACAGGACCCUCCAGCCUGCCCAGGUGCAAGACCCUGCUGGGCCUGGGUGAGGUGAGAUGCACCAGUGCCAGCUCCAAUCUGCCCUUGCCAAAUGCUCUUCCAAAUUGGCUCCGUGAAACCAGAACCGUGAAAUCCCGUCAGGAUAGCUGGAGGUAAGCACAGCGGUGGAAGGAUUUAGACCACGUCGAAACGGCUCAUGGACAAGAGGGUGAGAACCCGUGGACUCCUGGGCAAAGGCACCAUCGGGAACAUUAAGAAAGCAAUCCCACCUCAAACCCACAACCAAAAUAUUUUAUAAGAACCCUCCCUUCCCCCCCCACUCUCUUUUUGUCAAGUAAAGGAUACACACGGCCUUUCUACUUGUAACCUGGCCAAGAAUAAUUUGUG